rnacentral:rRNA from 1 species
AAGGGCACCACAAGAACGCGUGGAGCAUGUGGCUUAAUUUGACUCAACGCGGGAAAUCUUACCGGGUCCGGACACACUGAGGAUUGACAGGCGUUUGUGGUUGUUUGAGGUAUCUUUCAGUUCGCUGUUAGUGCCUCUGCUUCCACUAUAAAUAUGCUAGUCCUUUCAUGAUUGUGUGAUAGGUGGUGCAUGGCCGUUCUUAGUUCGUGGAGUGAUCUGUCUGCUUAAUUGCGUUUCACAAAGAACUUUCUAACUUUUGCCUGUUGCGCGGCAUUCGUGCUUGUCGCGGUGUCUGUGCACGGCAGAGAAAAAGUUCUGAAGGCAACGAACGUGACCGCAACCUCUUGUUGCCUCCUUCUUUUAACAAGACAUGAGAACUGUUUCACUUCUCUUCUUUUGCAAGGGUUGUAUCAGUUUCUCUGCAUGGAGUGCUAACUAGAGGGACCGCUGACAACUUUUAAAACAGAGGAAGGUUGCGGCAAUAACAGGUCUGUGAUGCCCUUAGAUGUUCCGGGCUGCACACGUGCUACAACGAUUAUUGCAGUGAGCAUCUAAUUACAAAAAGCGCGAGUUUGUGUUGGUAUUCUUUUGUCAUCUUCGGAUGGCUUUGUUUACCUACAUGGCUUGGCUACUAACCUGCUUCGAAAGUAAGCAGGUAAUCAAUUCGAAGUAAUGAUUUCCUUUUCGCACAUACUUAUAUCUCUUGCUUGCUGGCUACCUACACCUUGUGUGUAUUGGUUUGUCUCAGCCCUGAGAUAUGUGCUCCAUUAAUUCGUGGUGGGGACAGACCAUUGUUAAUUGUUGGUCUCGGUCUCAACUAGGAAUGCCUUGUACGGGUCUUUGGUUCAACAAACCACCCGGAAUAUGUCCCUGCCCUUUGUACACACCGCCCGUC